UACGUAGGGGGCAAGCGUUGUCCGGAUUUAUUGGGCGUAAAGAGCGUGUAGGCGGCCAGGUAGGUGGGUUGUGAAAACUGGAGGCUCAACCUCCAGACGUCGAUGGAAACCGUCUGGCUAGAGUCCGGAAGAGGAGAGUGGAAUUCCUGGUGUAGCGGUGAAAUGCGCAGAUAUCAGGAAGAACACCCGUGGCGAAAGCGGCUCUCUGGGACGGUACUGACGCUGAGACGCGAAAGCGUGGGGAGCGAACAGG
rnacentral:rRNA from 1 species